CAAGAGUACGUGAAACUGCUAAGAGGUUAAGCCCGAUGAGCCUGAAUAUCCGUUAUGGAAAAUUCAUCACUAAUAAUAUUAUAUUUAUAAUAUAAUAGGAGUAGUGUGCAAUUUUUCCAUAAAAGGACAUUGUAAUUUGUUAAUGUAAUAAAUAUUUAUCAAAAGAUCUAUUGCAUAAGUUUAUUCAAAUUAGUUAUUUUCGAAUUUCUAACAUAGAAUAAAUGUUUUAGAUUUGAUAAAUCAUUGACAGAUUUUAUUAUAUAUAGUGCUUAAAUUUUUCGGAAUUUUACAGUAAUGAUUUAAUCUAUUGAUUUCUUUUAUUAUUGUAUGCACUUAUAUGAUUAACAAUGCGAUAGAUUCAGGAUACCUUCGGGACCCGUCUUGAAACACGGACCAAGGAGUCUAACAUAUGUGCAAGUCAUUGGGUAUUUUUAAUAAAACCCAAUGGCAUAAUUAACUUAACUGUUAAAAUGGGAUUAGUUUAUAUUUUAUUAUAAAAUAUGAAUUCAAUCCCGGGGCGUUCUAAACAGUUAUGCAUAAUAGUAUUUAUAUUAUUUAUGCCUCUAACUAGAGCGUACCUUGAGCAUAUAUGCUGUGACCCGAAA
rnacentral:rRNA from 1 species